GACAGAGGGGGCAAGCGUUGUCCGGAAUUACUGGGCGUAAAGCGCACGCAGGCGGCACGGCAAGUGGGGUGUGACACCGCGUGGCUCAACCACGCGCCGCCAUCCCAAACUGCCGCGCUUGAGCCGUGCAGAGGCCAGUGGAAUUGCCGGUGUAGGAGUGACAUCCGUAGAGACCGGCAGGAACACCGAUGGGGAAGCCAGCUGGCUGGGCACGUGCUGACGCUCAGGUGCGAUAGCGUGGGGAGCAAACCGG
rnacentral:rRNA from 1 species